UAUAUUUAUAGAAUCAUUUCUCACAGUCGUAUAAACCGUCCUAUUCUCUCGGCAACUAUGAUAUUACAAAGUAAUAGCAUGGCAUUACUGUCGAUUAGUGAUGAAAUGUCCCUCAAGCCUCGAGAGGUUUAGUAAAAGUCCCGAGACUUUUACUAAACCUCUCUCGGCUUUCGGGUACAUUUAAUCACUAAUCGCCCUGAC